GUAUUCUUAGGACAAUUAAAAACAGAGAACCAGUUUUUGCUUUUUCUUGUUAAUCAGAAAGUCUUUGUGUAACUGGAGUUUGAGAGAAAGGACAGGAGCACUCUGUCAGAUAUUUGUUGUCAAUAAUGCCUACAAGGAAAGGCCAUUCUGGACACUGGGUGACUGAAUUCAGAUACAGGUCCAUGAUUUUUUUAAAACAGAGAUAAGCAAAAUUCUACCCUUCAGAAGUCUCUCCUAGCCCCAGAAGGGAGAAUCAGGAUGUCACAUCAGAAACUGUUGUGUCCUCCAGUAAUACAAUUCUGGCAAGUAGCUGAAUUUUAGUUUU